UGGGGAAUUUGGACAAUGGGGGCAACCUGAUCCAGCAACGCCGCGUGUGUGAAGAAGGCCUUCGGGUUGUAAAGCACUUUUGUCCGGAAAGAAAACGUCGUGGUUAAUACCCGUGGCGGCUGACGGUACCGGAAGAAUAAGCACCGGCUAACUACGUGCCAGCAGCCGCGGUAAUACGUAGGGUGCAAGCGUUAAUCGGAAUUACUGGGCGUAAAGCGUGCGCAGGCGGUCCGCUAAGACAGAUGUGAAAUCCCCGGGCUUAACCUGGGAACUGCAUUUGUGACUGGCGGGCUAGAGUAUGGCAGAGGGGGGUAGAAUUCCACGUGUAGCAGUGAAAUGCGUAGAGAUGUGGAGGAAUACCGAUGGCGAAGGCAGCCCCCUGGGCCAAUACUGACGCUCAUGCACGAAAGCGUGGGGAGCAAACAGGAUUCAGAUACCCUGGG
rnacentral:rRNA from 1 species